CAACAACCUCUCCCUGAACCUGUCCCCCUUCCUGGAGGACAGCCUCCGAUUCUUCUUUGAGGCAUCAGAGCUGGAGUGCACCUGCGAGAAGUGCCUUGGCCGCCAGGCCACCGUUACGAGGAGUUUCCUCACUCUGCCCCGAGUGCUGGUGCUUCACAUGAAGCGUUUCUGCUACAGUGGGGG